UAAAUACUCCCUCCGUCCGAAAAUACUUGUCAUCAAAAUGGAUAAAAAUAGAUGUAUCUAAAACUAAAAUACGUCUAGAUACAUUUCCUUUUAUCCAUUUUGAUGACAAGUAUUUCCGGACGGAGGAAGUAUUUG
rnacentral:pre_miRNA from 1 species